rnacentral:rRNA from 1 species
UACAGAGGUGGCAAGCGUUGUUCGGAAUUACUGGGCGUAAAGGGCGCGUAGGCGGCCAGCACAAGUCAGUUGUGAAAUCUCCGAGCUUAACUCGGAAAGGUCAACUGAUACUGUGCGGCUAGAGUGCGGAAGGGGCAACUGGAAUUCUUGGUGUAGCGGUGAAAUGCGUAGAUAUCAAGAGGAACACCUGCGGCGAAGGCGGGUUGCUGGGCCGACACUGACGCUGAUGCGCGAAAGCUAGGGGAGCGAACGGG